GUUGGCUUCUCUUUGUCUCUGAUGUUGGAGAUAAAACUCUGGGAUCUUUGGGGACCGUAAACAGCAUCUGUCUGCUCUACUCCAAAUAUAACCAUCGUCUACUGGGGGGAAGGGAAUUCCUCAAGAAAAAUGGAACCAACAAAAGAGAGAGAGAAUGCUCCAGAUAUCUGACAGCCGACUUUAAGGAUAGCUGAGAUUAAAGGUCUGGGGAGGAAAGCAGGACCCUGAAAGCUUUGACCUCGGCUGACGAUGCCCGAUUCAGACUCCUCCGGUGGCACGGCUCUCACAGAACUUCACUAGAUGUCGGUUUUCAUAUUCCUUAUUAUCGCCGCUCCAGCCCCUUCCCACAUUUUUGAAGUACAGCAACUAAAAAAAGCCUGUGCCAGGUGGAGCGGCUAAUGAAAAAUGCCCUGCUGUUUCCUCCCCAAUGGCCGAGAGAGCUGCCCAUACAAAAGUAGUGCUGAAGGGUGGUGGCAGACCAGAGACCUGGCCUCUACAGCCCUAUUCCCCAUCCCCCUUUUGGUGGAUUUGCAGUUAAAAGGUUGGAGAUACAUGGGAAAGAGAGCGCUCCCCAUGAGGCGAAAGCUACGAAAGUCACAGCUACGGAAUCGCAGACGACCUUGAAAGCUGUGGCACCGGCAGCUCCUGUAAAUUAUUCACACAGGAUGCAGAAAAGGGCUUCUUCUGCACUCCCGGACGAAAAAGCGGAAGCCAAAGCAAGCAUCGCCAUCACAGCUUCUCACAUGGAAGACGUGGAUUAAUGGAAUGUGGAUUAAUAGAAAGGAGACUUGCGUACAACUGGAAAAAGAUACAGAGAGUGGUCUUGCCAUUGCCUGUGCACAUCAAAAAAGUUGAAGGAGAGAAAGAAUAAGGGAGGUCCCUUCAUAAUUAAUUUCUCCCCCCUACGGAAACAUCGCGAUGGGGCCAAUUAUUGCCAGAAUGUGACUCCAUUGCCUGCUGCGUCACUGUCCACAGAGCUGCAAUCCUCUAGAUAUCCACAUGACACUGAAUACAGUGAGACACACACACACUUAUCUUUACAGGGUAAAUCACACUGGUUGGUAUUGGUUUUGAAACUAAUUCUGUGCGAUCAUUUUUCUUUCAUUGGGUUGUAUUUCCGGGAAGAUUGACCAAUAGUUAAACAAAGCAAAACAGCAAUUUUAAAAUAAAACAUAAUAUAAUAUUAUUUCAUUAUGUUUAGAUAUUAUGAAAAUAAUAAAUAUAAAUACAUUUCAUUAUCAUUUAAUGUAAAUCCUCCACUAGUGGUGGCAUUUUAAAGCUGUAAAAAAUUAUAUAAAAACAUUCUAUGAAAAAACUAAAUAU